AACGAACGCUGGCGGCAUGCCUAACACAUGCAAGUCGAACGAGAUCUUCGGGUCUAGUGGCGCACGGGUGCGUAGCGCGUGGGAAUCUGCCCUUUGGUUCGGAAUAACAGUUGGAAACGACUGCUAAUACCGGAUGAUGACGAAAGUCCAAAGAUUUAUCGCCAGAGGAUGAGCCCGCGUAGGAUUAGCUAGUUGGUGUGGUAAAGGCGCACCAAGGCGACGAUCCUUAGCUGGUCUGAGAGGAUGAUCAGCCACACGGGGACUGAGACACGGCCCAGACUCCUACGGGAGGCAGCAGUGGGGAAUAUUGGACAAUGGGCGAAAGCCUGAUCCAGCAAUGCCGCGUGAGUGAUGAAGGCCUUAGGGUUGUAAAGCUCUUUUACCCGGGAUGAUAAUGACAGUACCGGGAGAAUAAGCUCCGGCUAACUCCGUGCCAGCAGCCGCCGCCG
rnacentral:rRNA from 1 species